CUGAUGGAUGGCAGCACACAUAGUAAAAUUGGAACGAUACAGAGAACAUUAGCAUGGUCACUGCACAAGGAUGACAUGCAAAUUUGUUCCAUAUUUUA
rnacentral:snRNA from 1 species